rnacentral:rRNA from 1 species
GACGAACGCUGGCGGCGUGCUUAACACAUGCAAGUCGAGCGGUAAGGCCCUUUCGGGGGUACACGAGCGGCGAACGGGUGAGUAACACGUGGGUGACCUGCCCUUAGCUCUGGGAUAAGCCUGGGAAACUGGGUCUAAUACCGGAUAUGACCUCAUGACGCAUGUUGUGGGGUGGAAAGCCUUGUGCGGCUAGGGAUGGGCCCGCGGCCUAUCAGCUUGUUGGUGGGGUGAUGGCCACCAAGGCGACGACGGGUAGCCGGCCUGAGAGGGCGACCGGCCACACUGGGACUGAGACACGGCCCAGACUCCUACGGGAGGCAGCAGUGGGGAAUCUUGCGCAAUGGGCGAAAGCCUGCCGCAGCGACGCCGCGUGAGGGAUGACGGCCUCGG